rnacentral:rRNA from 1 species
AAUCAACGCUGGCGGCGUGCCUCAGACAUGCAAGUCGAACGAUUAAGACUUCCUUCGGGAAGUGUAUAAAGUGGCGCACGGGUGAGUAACACGUAAGUAAUCUACCUUCGAGUGGGGAAUAACUUCGGGAAACCGAUGCUAAUACCGCAUAAUGCAGCGGCAUCGCAAGAUGACAGUUGUUAAAGGAGCAAUUCGCUUGAAGAGGAGCUUGCGGCAGAUUAGCUAGUUGGUAAGGUAAUGGCUUACCAAGGCUACGAUCUGUAUCCGGUCUAAGAGGACGGUCGGACACACUGACACUGAAUAACGGGUCAGACUCCUACGGGAGGCAGCAGUCGGGAAUUUUGGGCAAUUGGCGAAAGCCUGACCCAGCAACGCCGCGUGAGGGAUGAAGUAUUUCGGUAUGUAAACCUCGAAAGAAUGGGGAGAAUAAAUGACGGUACCAUUUAUAAGCUCCGGCUAACUACGUGCCAGCAGCCGCCGUAACAC